rnacentral:lncRNA from 1 species
CCAUUUUUAAUUUUUUUUGUGGAACAUUCUUUGUUGAGUGUUGCCUUCUACUCCUUGGGAAAGCACUGAUUAUAACACUACCUUUAUUUCCACGCAAGACCAGGUUCCAGCUGCCCUCAUUACUGACUUAAAAUAGUCUAAGAGAAAAGUUGUGAAUAAAAUUCAAUACCUAAAAUGUGCGGUUUGCAUCGUGAUGCAUCGGAAAUGAAUCUGAUUAGGAACCAUGAGGUUUCGGGUUUGAUCCCUGGCUUUGCUCAGUGGGCCAUGAGCUGUGGUGUAGGUUGCAGCUCGAAUCUGACAUUGCUGUGGCUCUGGUGUAGGCCAGCGGAUACAGCUCCAAUUAGACCCCUAGCCUGGAAACGUCCAUAUGCCGCAGGUGCGGCCCUAAAAAGACAAAACAAAACGUUUGGAGUUCACAAAAAUCAUUCUAAUUAGGGAAGAGGGGCAUCAAAAGGGAAUGUAAUCGAGAUUUGUAAAAAUUAACAUUUUCAAACCCCAAACAAAGUCAGGGCAUUCAGAGGUUCACUAAAGGCAGGAGAAUAUAGCUUCAUAGGUGAACAGGCCAAAGUGGCAGGAACCCUGCUCAGAAAGCGCUGGGGGACCUAGGAAGGAUGGAAGAUGCUGAGCGUGUCUUGAGGGAUUGAGUUCACAAGGUCCCUGGGCUGUUCUAUGUGGGACCUUUGGGAGAAGCCUGACCUCAUGUUGGGGGACCCCCACUUGAUGCAAAACCUGCUCCUCCUGUUUAUCUGUGUGUCACUUUUGCUAAAACUUAGAUGACUACCCUCGGUUUUUAUUUUUUAUUGAAGUGUAAUUGCUUUACAAUAUUAUAUUAGUUUCAGGUAUACAAUAUAAUGAUUCAGUAUUUUUCUGAAGAGUUAUUACAGAUAAUGGCUAUAUUUCCCUUGGAUUUAACUGUCUUUUGUAAUUCCAACCUGUAUCACAUCAAAUUCAUAGUCUAUUGAACUCACCCUCUCUCUGUAUCUGGAUAGUGUCUGUAACUUAAUUGGUAGUAGAGCCCCAGGUUUUGAAAUUGCAAAUAUAAAAUUGUGAAUAUUUGACUGUUCUUAACUAACAAAGAUAGCAAACAGUAUGGUUCAACUUAAUAGAGUAAAAAGUUCUUAAACCAAAUUCGUAGUCUGAAGAAUUAAGGAGAGAGUUUUCAGAAUUAAAAAAAAUAUAUAUAGUCAAGGGAAAGAAAGAUCAUUAGAAGGAAGAAGUGGGUUUAUUUUAGAAAGCUUCGAUUUUCUUACAUUUCUCUGUUGCUGUCUCCCUGCAGGCCAACAUUCUCAGAUAUUACAGCUCAUUUUAUUUCUGUCCCAAUUGAAAGAAGAGCCACAGUGUUCUGUGUAUCAAAUGUUGGGUACAUGCUUUGAGACUGACCAGUUGUCCAUGUUGGUGGUGGGUGAGGCUGGCCAGGCUGUGGUCACCCAGUUCCCAAAAAGGUUAAUCAGCCAUUUUUUUUCUUUAUUCUUUUUCUUUUUCUGGCUAGAACACUGGACAGUCAUGAGAAUAACUGAAGGAGAAAAUGCUGUUAGAUCCCUCCCAUUGUAGCAGCUUUGGUUGAAUGUAGCUAAUGAAAGUUAAAGUGUGGAGUUUAGGGUGGGCUGGGGAAGGGGUGUUUGCAAUGGUGGUGGGACCUGCUAGGAUGGGAAGCUUUAGUUGCUACUUAUUCUUAGCAUGUACAUGGGGCUAGAGCAGAAGGAACUCUAAAGGGACACACUCUCCCCAUCAUCCUUCUGGCCAGGUCUGCACAGGGUGAGUGUGUCCUGAGCUGGGAAGCUGGGACCUGCUUGCCGGGCCCCCCUUGCCCCCUGGGUCCCGCCUCAGAUGCCCCGCGAUGGGCAAAGACUUUUGUCUGAACUCAGAACUUCAUCAGUGGCCCCAACAAGAGGCUAGAAACAGCACCCCAAAGAAAGGUGUUGGGCAUCAAGGAGAUAGAAACACAGUAAAUGAGGCAAGGGAAGUUCUGCAUGCGGAUGGGAAACAGAACACAUAUGACUAUGGAGACGCAAGGCAGGCACAGCUGGGAACAAGCCUAAAUGUGAAUUGAACCUCCAGGGGCCCGGGCUAAGGCAGGGCUUGUCCUGAGGGGAUCAGUCCUAAACGGUACUCAGGGCCUGUUCAAAAGGAGCCUACAGAAUUGGUGCAGGUGAAGGCAGGAGGCCAGCUCUGCUUGGACACUGUUCACUCCGGCUCUUAGCCUAGCUUCCCCAUCACGCCAGUGGCCAGAGGUGCAUCUUGAGUGGUGCCUGGUAAACGUCCACAUGCAGCUUGCUCGGCCGCUCAUGAUGCUGGCACAGGUGCCAGGCUGCGUGUGAGAUGCGCUGUGCCAGGUGCCCAUGAGAGUCUGGGGCACAGGACUGGGACAGGGCCCGGUGAGAAGGGGGCUCAAGACAGUGGCGAUGAAGAUGAAGGGAGAGCAGGUCGACUCCAGAUUGAGAAGAGGGGCCACAAAUUGCGACAGGUCCUUUAAGCAGACCGUGAGGGUGACACCAUCCUUAGUGUUUUAUACUGUACUGAACACUGACAAAUUUAGCUGGGAAUAAAGUGAGAAUUGAAAACCUUUAUAUUAAUUCUUAUUCAGUAUAAAUAUGCAGUGAAGUUCUUUAAGAAAAAAAAAUAUUCAGAUGCGCUUGACAGCCGCCUGCAGAAUGCCCUCUGGUUUAGUCGGCAUCUUAGCAACCAGAACCAGCCUCCGUCAGCGCGUGCACGGAGACGACGUUAAUUGUCCAUGUGGCACUGUGAUCCCCUGGUGUGCCUCUGCAUCAUCGAAAGAAGAUUGAAUUACGAGGAGAGUAGCGCCUUCGAAGUGUGGUUUGUUGUAUUCUGAUUCUUCCAACAUUGAUCAUCUGUGCGUGGCGGGCGUGCUGAUAUUUGCCUGGACAGAAUGUUGCACCCCCAGCCUUCCAGAAUGAAUUUAUUACGCCGUGAACUGGUCAGACUCUGGAGAUUAGACUUGGUUUUCUCUCUCUUGCUGAGAGAGACACGAAAGGUCCACAUCCUCAGGGUUGUGAGACAGACACCGUUCAGACACUUUGGUUUAUUUGCAAAAUGCGAACACUCGAUUUGUUUUCUCUCUGUCUCUCACACAAAAUAGAACUAUAGAUUUAGAGCUGGUAGGGAGCUGGGGGGUGUUUGGGCUGCCUGAGUUGUAGCAGUGAGGAAGCCAGGGUGCAGGGGAGUCGUUGUCACUUGCCUGGAGCCACUGGUGUGUUUAUUGUCCAAGGACAGUGUAGUUGGUAAAAGGCACAGGAGGCGGGUCGCCAGGUUGUAGGUCUCCUUUUGCAAUAACUCUCUGUGCCUCCAGUGGGCUCCUCAACCCCUACACGUCGGCUUCCGGGGUUGCCAUAGAGGACCAGUUUCCGAGCCACCAGGGUCAUGGCCACUGCAUUCCCUGUAUGAUGGCUGGUAUGGCUUGGGCAUCCUGUUCACAUAGCUCCUAUAGACACUGGCGUAAACACCAGACCUGGGGUCCACAGGGUCCAUGUCCCAGCCCAGGAAAGUGUCUUUCCUGGCUUGUCAUGUGAGAGGCAGAAGCCUGUGGUCCCCGUACAGGGCUCCAGAUCCCCAGUAUGCAGUCGCGCCCACCCAGAGGCUGCUGAGAUGGAGACCGUCCUGCUGUGCUCCGCAGAAGCCGAUCCCAGGAGGGUGGGAUUCUCAUCUCCUAUAACCAGGAGGCAGCUCGCGGUGAACAUGGAGUGGGCGUUAUCUGAAGGCGAAAUGGAUGAUCUUCCUGGAUUCCAGUGAAACUGCAUGGGCUGUGUGUACAGUCUUAUUGGAUGUGACAGCUUUGCAGUCACUUCCCUCUCUGCUUCCCAUCUUCAGUUCUGUUAUUAUUUCAGUCCCACUGGCCUGCUGGCUUUAGCUUUCUCAUCUGCAGUGUGGAGGGUGCUGGCUGCAAUUUUCAGCUCCUUCCCCGUGGUUCACAUGUCAGCUUUGCCAUUUUGUUAUGAAAGGAAACUUGGGUUCCUCGCUUCAGACGUGAGCUUGUGACUUCUGAUGUGAUGUGUAAGACCCUCUUUUCUAGAUAUUCUCCAUCAGCGGUGAGUGGAAACAACCGGAUUUGGUCUCUUGAGGUAUGGCCUUACACAUCAAGAGGUGGAUUGAACUGAUUUUGCUUCUGAAGCAUCACUUGCUCAUCAGCAGGGGGCACAUGCCUGUCAGCUCUGAGGGAAGUUGACCCCGGGCUGUGGAAGUGAAUUUCACACCUGCUGAGCUGGGGUCCGACCCUGAGAUGGUGUCAUGUCCCAGCUGUCCUAGACACACGUUACUCCAGCCAGCACUGACACCCUGCCCUGUUCAUGAUCCUAGGCAUGAUCAUGAACCUGGGGUGAUGCAUCUGACUGCACCCCCUUCUUUGUACCAGUUGUUGAAAGUGCAGAUUCAGGCAUGUGGCUGUUCUACUCACCCUUUGAUGCUGCCAUUGUAAGGCGAGGACUUGCAGCACCUCACGCUGGCUUCCUAGGACCACAGCCAUGGCCUCACCUUCAACUUCACUGCACCCCGAAUGCCCUGCUCAUAGCUUCCCAUUGGCCCUCCCCUGGCCUGAGCACCAUGUUUUGACACCACUCUCUCUGGAGACUGGGACUCCCUCCCGCCUAGACUCUCGCUUCCAGGCCUUGACCCUUUGUUCCUGGAAUUUGGGCAUCUUAGUUUCACGGCAUCGGCUUCGUGCCACACAUGACCUGUAUAUCCCUCUCGUGGAACUGUGCUCUGGGCGGGCAAGGCCCGCUUGUCCAUUCUGACCUCCCUGGUGAUCCUGACCUCACAGUAGCCGGCAGCCCCUCCUGGAGGCUGUUUGGGUCCAUCCUCUGUCUGCAGUGGCCCCAAGGAGAGUGUGGCAUCUUGUUUGUGGUGGAGUGGUGCCCAGGAGAGCGGGGAUGGUCCCUUGUUUUAUCAUCUGUCUGGUCCCCACAUCAUCUGUAACCAUAGCAACAGCUAGUAACAGUAGCAGUGCCUCAAACAACAGUGUUUAAUGUGAACAUCUUGUGCUUCCACCAAGUUUCUGAGUUGAAAGGGCUGUGUGAAUGGAAAAUAAUAUCCUGGCCUUUUUGGAUGGGCUAGAGUUGAUGUUUGGGCUGAGGUUUGGUGGGUUCAGGAUUCUGAGAAGUGCUCCUUGUGGCUUCUGGCUCUGAGUGUCUCGUGUUGGUAUAGUGAUUGGCAUCCAUGUCCUGGGCCUCUUUAUGAAUCUGUAUUGCUGUGGAGGAGCAGGAAAGGGCUCAGCCGCUUCUGCUGCUGGAUGGCCGAGAGCGUGGUAGCAAGCUGUCAACUCCCACCUCAUCUACAUCCAUGGCCAGCUUCCCAGGAAGCAGUGGCUCAGGUCCCUGUGGGUUUCCCACUCACUACCAGGGUCCCCAUGCCUGGCGGCUGUAGAAGGAGCAGAGCCUGGGGCCCAGGAUGCCACCUCCUCCAGACUGCCCUGGAGUGUAGGGGCCACAUGACCCCACCUGCAGCUGGGCCGGUCCCUGCCUUGGCCUGGGGCUGUGUCGGGAGGGAGGAGGGGCCUGAUGGGGCACAUUCAGUGUAGGACACAGCUUAGGUGCUUCAGGGCUCAGCACUGAGGCAGAGUGGGGGGUUGUGGGGGCUGUGAGGGGACAGCAUGGGGACAGUGUGGGGCACUGGCCUCGGGAGCCCUCACUCCUUCCAGGGGAAAUCUGGGGGCACGGAAGCUGAAAGCUGUGGAGACCACAUGCCUUUGCCACGGCCCUGGAGUCCUUCCUUCUGAGAAUGCAGUUCUGCCUGUUCCCGCCAUGGCCGAGCCCACCGGAAAUCGGAAUUUCACAGCCCUGCCCGUGACCUCAAAAGCACAUGCACUCAGGGCUGAGGCUGCCCCUUCUUCCAGAAUGUGCUGUCCUCAUCGGGCACCUCCUGGUCUGGCCGACUAGAUACUGUGCGUGCUGUUCCGUCUGUAUCUUCCUCGGUUUGAGUGUUUGCUGUGGGUACGCAUAAUUAUUUAGUUGGCGGAAAUUCUCUUUUUUUCAGAGGAUUUAUUUGAGAAAUAUAUUUUGGUGCAUGUAUCACUGGCACAAGUUCCUAAUUUUUCAUUUGUGAGUUUAGUUUUUUAAAAAUCUAGAGUUCCCGGAGUUCCCGUCAUGGCUCAGUGGUUAACAAAUCUGACUAGGAACCAUGAGGUUGUGGGUUCGAUCCCUGGCCUUGCUCAGUGGGUUAAGGAUCUGGCGUUGCUGUGAGCUGUGGUGUGGGCUGCAGACGUGGCUCAGACCCCAAGUUGCUGUGGCUCUGGUGUAGGCCGGUGGCUACAGCUCCGAUUGGACCCCUAGCCUGGGAACCUC